rnacentral:rRNA from 1 species
CCUACGGGUGGCAGCAGUGAGGAAUAUUGGUCUAUGGGCGAGAGCCUGAACCAGCCAAGUCGCGUGAGGGAGGACUGCCCUAUGGGUUGUAAACCUCUUUUGUCGGGGAGCAAAAGCCGGACGUGUUCGGCUGUGAGAGUACCCGAAGAAAAAGCAUCGGCUAACUCCGUGCCAGCAGCCGCGUUAAUACGGAGGAUGCGAGCGUUAUCCGGAUUUAUUGGGGUUAAAGGGAGCGCAGGCGGAUUUGUAAGUCAGCGGUAAAAUCGUGGGGCUCAACCCCAUCCAGCCGUUGAUACUGGGGAUCUAGAGUGUGCGAGAGGUAUGCAGAAUUCGUGGUGUAGCGGUGAAAUGCUUAGAUAUCACGAAGAACCCCGAUUGCGAAGGCAGCUUACUAAACUAAGACUGACAUUGAUGCUCGAAAGUGUGGGUAUCAAACAGGAUUAGAUACCCGAGUAGUC